rnacentral:rRNA from 1 species
CAUAUACUGAAUACAUAGGUAUAUGAGGGGAACCGCCUGAACUGAAACAUCUAAGUAGGGCGAGGAAAAGAAAUCAACCGAGAUUCCGCGAGUAGUGGCGAGCGAAAGCGGAAGAGGCCAAACCGAAUGUAGAAAUAUGUUCGGGGUAAGGACAGCAUAAUGCAUUGUGGAAACCUAGUCGAAUGAGAUGGGAAGCUCAACAAAACAGUGUGAGAGUCACGUAGACGAAAGGACGAAGCAGCAGGCUGUAUCCGGAGUACCGCGGGACACGAGGAAUCCCGUGGGAAGAUGGGGGGACCAUCCUCCAAGCCUAAAUACUACUUGGUGACCGAUAGCGAAAAGUACUGUGAAGGAAAGGUGAAAAGAACCCCGGGAGGGGAGUGAAAUAGAACCUGAAACCUUGUGCUUACAAGCACCGAGAGCUCAUUAACGAGUGAUCGGGUACCUUUUGUAGAAUGGUCCGGCGAGUGAAUGUAACUAGCAAGGUUAAGCACUUAAGGUGCGAAGCCGUAGCGAGAGCAAGUCUGAAAAGGGCGUAAUAAAGUUAGUUGUAUUCGACCCGAAACCGGGUGACCUAGCCAUGUCCAGGUUGAAGUGGAGGUAAAACUCCAUGGAGGACCGAACCGACUCCCGUUGAAAUGGUAGCGGAUGAGGUGUGGCUAGCGGAGAAAUUCCAAUCGAACCCGGAGAUAGCUGGUUCUCUCCGAAAUAGCUUUAGGGCUAGCCUCGGAAAAGAUUACUGGAGGUAAAGCACUGAAUUGGAUAGGGGCCGAGAGGUUACCGAACCUUAUCAAACUAAGAAUGCCAGAUAAUCGAUUUCCGGGAGUCAGACAGUGGGAGAUAAGUUUCAUUGUCAAAAGGGAAACAGCCCAGACCCACAGCUAAGGUCCCCAAGUAUAGUUAAGUGGAAAAGGAUGUGGAGUUGCAUAGACAACCAGGAUGUUGGCUUAGAAGCAGCCACUCAUUAAAAGAGUGCGUAAUAGCUCACUGGUCGAGUGACUCUGCGCCGAAAAUUUAACGGGGCUAAACUAUACACCGAAGCUUGGGAUGUACCGCAAGGUAUAUGGUAGGAGAGCGUUCUGUAAGGGGCGAAGUCGUAGCGAAAGCAGCGGUGGACUUUACAGAAGUGAGAAUGCCGGAAUGAGUAGCGAGAAAUAUGUGAGAAUCAUAUUGGCCGAAAGUCUAAGGUUUUUGGAGGAAGGUUCGUCCGCUCCAAGUAAGUCGGGAGCUAAGGUGAGGCCGAAAGGCGUAGCCGAUGCACAUACGGUAGAUAUUCCGUAACCGUCGAAGAAUUAAAGCACAGGGACAUCUGAGGAAGACAUAACCCGGGCGUUGGUAGACCCGGGCGUAAGGGACCGAAAAUAAGUAGGGAAGUAUGUUGGAAUUAGGGCGAGAAAAGCUGUGUGUAAAUUCAAGAUGCCCGUACCGCAAACCGACACAGGUAGAUAGGAAGAGAAUUCUAAGGCCAACGGGAGAAGGGUAGUUAAGGAACUCGGCAAAUUGACCCCGUAACUUAGGGAAAAGGGGUGCUCACGAAGGUGAGCCGCAGAGAAUAGGCCCAGGCGACUGUUUAGCAAAAACACAGGUCUCUGCCAAAUCGAAAGAUGAAGUAUAGGGGCUGACACCUGCCCGGUGCUGGAAGGUUAAGAGGAAGUGUGCAAGCACUGAAUUGAAGCCCCAGUAAACGGCGGCCGUAACUAUAACGGUCCUAAGGUAGCGAAAUUCCUUGUCGGGUAAGUUCCGACCCGCACGAAUGGUGUAACGAUCUGGGCACUGUCUCAACUACCCGCCCGGCGAAAUUGUAGUACCGGUGAAGAUGCCGGUUACCCGCGACAAGACG